rnacentral:rRNA from 1 species
GAUGAACGCUGGCGGCGUGCCUAAUACAUGCAAGUCGAGCGAACGGACGAGAAGCUUGCUUCUCUGACGUUAGCGGCGGACGGGUGAGUAACACGUGGAUAACCUACCUAUAAGACUGGGAUAACUUCGGGAAACCGGAGCUAAUACCGGAUGAUAUAUUGAACCGCAUGGUUCAAAAGUGAAAGACGGUUUUGCUGUCACCUAUAGAUGGAUCCGCGCUGCAUUAGCUAGUUGGUAAGGUAACGGCUUACCAAGGCAACGAUGCGUAGCCGACCUGAGAGGGUGAUCGGCCACACUGGAACUGAGACACGGUCCAGACUCCUACGGGAGGCAGCAGUAGGGAAUCUUCCGCAAUGGGCGAAAGCCUGACGGAGCAACGCCGCGUGAGUGAUGAAGGUCUUCGGAUCGUAAAACUCUGUUAUUAGGGAAGAACAUAUGUGUAAGUAACUGUGCACGUCUUGACGGUACCUAAUCAGAAAGCCACGGCUAACUACGUG